rnacentral:siRNA from 1 species
GAUAAGCCAAAUUAUCAAAAGAA